rnacentral:tRNA from 1 species
GGGCGUUUAGCUCAGUGGUAGAGCGCAGUCCUGAUAAGACUGAGGUCGCAGGUUCAAUCCCUGCAACGCCCA